AUGAACGCUGGCGGCGUGCCUAAUACAUGCAAGUCGAACGAUGUCGCAAGACAUAGUGGCGACCGGGUGCGUAACACGUAGCUGACCUGCCCCUCAGCGGGGGACAACUGUUGGAAACGACAGCUAAUACCGCAUGAUCUUGCGCGCUCUAAAAGCGCGUUAGUAAACUUACGGGGGUUGAGGGAGGGGGCUGCGGCCCAUCAGGUAGUUGGUGAGGUAACGGCUCACCAAGCCAACGACGGGUAGGGGGCCUGAGAGGGUGGUCCCCCACACUGGGACUGACACACGGCCCAGACUCCUACGGGAGGCAGCAGUAAGGGAUAUUGCGCAAUGGGCGAAAGCCUGACGCAGCAACGCCGCGUGGAGGAAGACGGCCUUCGGGUUUGUAAACUCGUUUUGCGUCUGACAAGGAAGGAUGGUAGGACGCGAAUAAGUCACGGCUAACUACGUGCCAGCAGCCGCGGUAAAAACGUAGGUGGCGAGCGUUUAUCCGGAUUUACUGGGCGUAAAGGGUGUGCAGGCGGGGGGUCAAGUGGUGUAUGAAAUGGCCCGGCUUAACCGGGCAGCGGUAUGCCAGACUGACCUUCUUGGGUGCGAGAGAGGGGCGUGGAAUUCCGGGUGUAGUGGUGAAAUGCGUAGAGAUCCGGAGGAACCCCAGAGGCGAAGGCGGCGCCCUGGCUCGCAACCGACGCUCAGACACGACAGCAUGGGGAGCGAACGGGAUUAGAAACCCCGGUAGUCCAUGCCGUAAACGAUGCAAACUAGGCACUGACGGUCUCAACCCCGCCGGUGCCGCAGCUAACGCGUUUAAGUUUGCCGCCUGGGGAGUACGGCCGCAAGGCUAAAAACUCAAAGGAAUUGACGGGGGCCCGCAACAAGCAGCGGAAGCGUGUGGUUUAUAAUUCGAGGCUACACGAAGCACCUUACCUGGACUUGACAUGACUGUGAACGAGGCGGAAACGCCAAGGGCCGCAAGGCACAGUCACAGGUGCUGCAUGGCUGUCGUCAGCUCGUGCCGUGAGGUGUUAGGUUAAGUCCUGUAACGAGCGCAACCCCUGGGUCCAGUUACACGCAGUCUGGACCGACUGCCCGCGACAAAGCGGGAGGAAGGUGGGGGAUGAUGUCAAGUCAGCAUGGCCUUUAUGUCCAGGGCUACACACACGCUACAAUGGCCGGUACAAUGGGUCGCCAAGCCGCAAGGCGCAGCCAAUCCUAUCAAAGCCGGUCUCAGUUCGGAUUGUGGGCUGCAACCCGCCCACAUGAAGUCGGAGUUGCUAGUAACCGCGCGUCAGCCAUAGUGCGGUGAAUACGUUCCCGGGCCUUGUACACACCGCCCGUCACGUCAUGGGAGCUGGUCACGCCUGAAGCCAGUGGGUGAACCUUACCGACACCGCUGUCCAAGGCAGGGCCGGUGACUGGGACG
rnacentral:rRNA from 1 species